AUUGAACGCUGGCGGCAGGCCUAACACAUGCAAGUCGAACGGUAACAGGGAUCAGCUUGCUGAUUCGCUGACGAGUGGCGGACGGGUGAGUAAUGUCUGGGAAACUGCCUGAUGGAGGGGGAUAACUACUGGAAACGGUAGCUAAUACCGCAUAACGUCGCAAGACCAAAGAGGGGGACCUUCUGGCCUCUUGCCAUCGGAUGUGCCCAGAUGGGAUUAGCUAGUAGGUGGGGUAACGGCUCACCUAGGCGACGAUCCCUAGCUGGUCUGAGAGGAUGACCAGCCACACUGGAACUGAGACACGGUCCAGACUCCUACGGGAGGCAGCAGUGGGGAAUAUUGCACAAUGGGCGCAAGCCUGAUGCAGCCAUGCCGCGUGUAUGAAGAAGGCCUUCGGGUUGUAAAGUACUUUCAGCGGGGAGGAAGGGAGUAAAGUUAAUACCUUUGCUCAUUGACGUUACCCGCAGAAGAAGCACCGGCUAACUCCGUG
rnacentral:rRNA from 1 species